AGUAACAUGUGGCUAACCUGUCCUUGGGACAGGGACAACCCCGGGAAACUGGGGCUAAUCCCUGAUAGGUGAGAACUCCUGGAAUGGAUUCUCGCUCAAAGGGCGUCUAGGCCAUGCUUCUAGGCGUUGCCCAAGGAGGAGGCCGCGGCCGAUCAGGUUGUUGGUGAGGUAAUGGCUCACCAAGCCUUUAACCGGUACGGGCCGUGAGAGCGGUAGCCCGGAGAUGGGCACUGAGACAAGGGCCCAGGCCCUACGGGGCGCAGCAGUCGCGAAAACUCCGCAAUUCACGAAAGUGUGACGGGGCCAUCCCNGAGUGCCAUCCGCUGAGGAUAGCUUUUCCCUAGUGUACAAAGCUGGGGGAAUAAGGAGAGGGCAAGCCUGGUGUCAGCCGCCGCGGUAA
rnacentral:rRNA from 1 species